ACAUUAAUCUCACUACUGCUCCUAAUCUUAUAAAUCUUGUGCACACAACUUUCUGUUAGGAUCCCUGGACUGUUUUUCCCUCCUUCUGCACACUGUCUGAUCACGCCCCCUUGCUUCCAGUCACGCCCACUUCCUGGUUUUGCCCUCUGUUUACCGGUACUGGUUUAAUUACCCAAACCACACUCACCUGUGUCUAACCCUUGUGUACAUAAAAACACUCAACCUCUCCCUGACUUGGUCUUGGCCUCAUGACGUUGCUUAUGACGGCAGAUGGUAUAAAAUGAGGAAGUAGGCAAGAGCUUCCUCCUUUUGUCUCCUACAACUUUCCUUUUUUUACCAGGAGCCUGACUGACUAACGUUAACUUGGCAAAUGUAAAAUGCAACCUACUGUAAAUAAUUGUCUGACAUGUUAGUCUACGCAUUAAUCAUGUGUAGACUACCACGCUGAACACGUGAGUACAGGUUUCAAAACUGGUGUGUGCGCCCCCCCCCCUCCCCUCGAUGUCUGGACACAACAGGUCACUGCUCAAAAAGGAAGUCGUCUUUUAGUACAAGCAUUGCUUCUCUGUCAUCUGACACUACACUUUAGCGCUGACACUGAUUUACCAGUUAACUUUAGUUUAUAGAUUUUUUUUGAGCCACUCCAUUUUCUCUAUACAGUGUCGUGUUCUGAUGGAGCAGAAAUUCAUCCAAAAAGCUGGAACAGGACAUGGUGGUGAUGAAUAAUUUAACACUUUUCCAUGUCAAACAACAGAAUUAAAUGAAGGGAAAUAUUUUUGGAGAGGAUCAACUCAACCACUGAGAUGUGACUGUAUGGAAAAAAAAUGUUACACGCAGCUCAUUGAUUUUUUUUUUUUUUUUUU